UACGUAGGGGGCAAGCGUUGUCCGGAAUCACUGGGCGUAAAGCGCACGUAGGCGGACUAUUAAGUCAGGGGUGAAAUCCCGGGGCUCAACCCCGGAACUGCCUUUGAUACUGGUAGUCUUGAGUUCGAGAGAGGUGAGUGGAAUUCCGAGUGUAGAGGUGAAAUUCGUAGAUAUUCGGAGGAACACCAGUGGCGAAGGCGGCUCACUGGCUCGAUACUGACGCUGAGGUGCGAAAGCGUGGGGAGCAAACAGG
rnacentral:rRNA from 1 species